rnacentral:rRNA from 1 species
AUUCUGUAGCAAGGUUAACCGAAUAGGGGAGCCGGAGGGAAACCGAGUCUUAAUUGGGCGUUAAGUUGCAGGGUAUAGACCCGAAACCCGGUGAUCUAGCCAUGGGCAGGUUGAAGGUUGGGUAACACUAACUGGAGGACCGAACCGACUAAUGUUGAAAAAUUAGCGGAUGACCUGUGGCUGGGGGUGAAAGGCCAAUCAAACCGGGAGAUAGCUGGUUCUCCCCGAAAGCUAUUUAGGUAGCGCCUCGUGAAUUCAUCUCCGGGGGUAGAGCACUGUUUCGGCUAGGGGGCCAUCCCGGCUUACCAACCCGAUGCAAACUGCGAAUACCGGAGAAUGUUAUCACGGGAGACACACGGCGGGUGCUAACGUCCGUCGUGAAGAGGGAAACAACCCAGACCGCCAGCUAAGGUCCCAAAGUCAUGGUUAAGUGGGAAACGAUGUGGGAAGGCCCAGACAGCCAGGAUGUUGGCUUAGAAGCAGCCAUCAUUUAAAGAAAGCGUAAUAGCUCACUGGUCGAGUCGGCCUGCGCGGAAGAUGUAACGGGGCUAAACCAUGCACCGAAGCUGCGGCAGCGACACUGUGUGUUGUUGGGUAGGGGAGCGUUCUGUAAGCCUGCGAAGGUGGCCUGUGAGGGUUGCUGGAGGUAUCAGAAGUGCGAAUGCUGACAUAAGUAACGAUAAAGCGGGUGAAAAGCCCGCUCGCCGGAAGACCAAGGGUUCCUGUCCAACGUUAAUCGGGGCAGGGUGAGUCGACCCCUAAGGCGAGGCCGAAAGGCGUAGUCGAUGGGAAACGGGUUAAUAUUCCCGUACUUGGUGUUACUGCGAAGGGGGGACGGAGAAGGCUAUGUUGGCCGGGCGACGGUUGUCCCGGUUUAAGCGUGUAGGUGUGUGUUCCAGGUAAAUCCGGUUCACUUUAACACUGAGGCGUGACGACGAGGCACUACGGUGCUGAAGCAACAAAUGCCCUGCUUCCAGGAAAAGCCUCUAAGCAUCAGGUAACAUCAAAUCGUACCCCAAACCGACACAGGUGGUCAGGUAGAGAAUACCAAGGCGCUUGAGAGAACUCGGGUGAAGGAACUAGGCAAAAUGGUGCCGUAACUUCGGGAGAAGGCACGCUGACACGUAGGUGAAGUGAUUUACUCAUGGAGCUGAAGUCAGUCGAAGAUACCAGCUGGCUGCAACUGUUUAUUAAAAACACAGCACUGUGCAAACACGAAAGUGGACGUAUACGGUGUGACGCCUGCCCGGUGCCGGAAGGUUAAUUGAUGGGGUCAGCGCAAGCGAAGCUCCUGAUCGAAGCCCCGGUAAACGGCGGCCGUAACUAUAACGGUCCUAAGGUAGCGAAAUUCCUUGUCGGGUAAGUUCCGACCUGCACGAAUGGCGUAAUGAUGGCCAGGCUGUCUCCACCCGAGACUCAGUGAAAUUGAACUCGCUGUGAAGAUGCAGUGUACCCGCGGCAAGACGGAAAGACCCCGUGAACCUUUACUAUAGCUUGACACUGAACAUUGAGCCUUGAUGUGUAGGAUAGGUGGGAGGCUUUGAAGUGUGGACGCCAGUCUGCAUGGAGCCGACCUUGAAAUACCACCCUUUAAUGUUUGAUGUUCUAACGUGGACCCGUUACCCGGGUUGCGGACAGUGUCUGGUGGGUAGUUUGACUGGGGCGGUCUCCUCCUAAAGAGUAACGGAGGAGCACGAAGGUUGGCUAAUCCUGGUCGGACAUCAGGAGGUUAGUGCAAUGGCAUAAGCCAGCUUGACUGCGAGCGUGACGGCGCGAGCAGGUGCGAAAGCAGGUCAUAGUGAUCCGGUGGUUCUGAAUGGAAGGGCCAUCGCUCAACGGAUAAAAGGUACUCCGGGGAUAACAGGCUGAUACCGCCCAAGAGUUCAUAUCGACGGCGGUGUUUGGCACCUCGAUGUCGGCUCAUCACAUCCUGGGGCUGAAGUAGGUCCCAAGGGUAUGGCUGUUCGCCAUUUAAAGUGGUACGCGAGCUGGGUUUAGAACGUCGUGAGACAGUUCGGUCCCUAUCUGCCGUGGGCGCUGGAGAACUGAGGGGGGCUGCUCCUAGUACGAGAGGACCGGAGUGGACGCAUCACUGGUGUUCGGGUUGUCAUGCCAAUGGCACUGCCCGGUAGCUAAAUGCGGAAGAGAUAAGUGCUGAAAGCAUCUAAGCACGAAACUUGCCCCGAG